rnacentral:rRNA from 1 species
UACGUAGGGCGCAAGCGUUGUCCGGAAUUAUUGGGCGUAAAGAGCUCGUAGGCGGCUUGUCACGUCGGAUGUGAAAGCCCGGGGCUUAACCCCGGGUCUGCAUUCGAUACGGGCAGGCUAGAGUUCGGUAGGGGAGAUCGGAAUUCCUGGUGUAGCGGUGAAAUGCGCAGAUAUCAGGAGGAACACCGGUGGCGAAGGCGGAUCUCUGGGCUGAUACUGACGCUGAGGAGCGAAAGCGUGGGGAGCGAACAGG